AGGCAGCAUUUUCCAGUUUUCGGACGCAGCCAUAGAGUCAAGAUUCAUUCAAACAGCUGAUUCAUUCAGGAAUGAAGUAAAUGGCUCUCCUUAUGAAUAGGCCAAUGAUUCAUUGGUUCACCCGAUUGAUUUGGCUACUCAAAACGAUGAUUCAUUCAGAAACGAAGCAGAGCUGAGCAUAAAGCAGACAAUAAUAUGUUUUUUUUUAAAAAAACAUUAUUUUUUGAACUGCUGUAUAAAAUCAAUAUCACAUUUGCACUCAAUGCUAUUCGGGACAAAACAGCACUCGUGCGAGUAAUUCAAAUUUCUUUUAAAUCACAAAGUGACAAUAUCACAUUGAUAAUGCAAUACCCAGGUGACAAAAUUACUGAAUCGGUCUGUCACAAAUACACUUGAAAUGAAUGGACAAAAUAACUCAGUAUCAAAAAGGUCAGUGAAUAACACAAUGAACAAAUAUUAAAUUCUGUGGUGCCACAUUCACAACCCACCCUGUUGCGGGCCUGAGACGUUAGACGCUGGAGUACGCGGUGGCACUGGAAACAACAAACUGGCCCCUUCACUCUCCUGAGCUGGAAAAUAAACUUAAAGUACCUGAACUUCGUAAUGAAUUACAGCAGCACAGUAGUAGGCCUCCGGGAAAUCUCUCUGAACACGGGCCGCAGACGCCUCCCGCGCAGCCAGCGAACUCCCGAUGCUCAGGUUAAUCUGGGCACUGUGGUCCUCCUCACACAGAUCAACACACCGCAAAUAAAACAGGCCUGCGAUUGGUUGCAGCCGGCAUUGUAAUGAUGACGCAGCCAAUCGUUUGGCUUGCUCUGGAAUAAACUUCUGGGAAAGGGCUGACAUUGGCUGUGGCUGACGCGGUGAUGAUGAUGACACAUCUGUCACGAGGCAGCACCAUGCAUCUUCUCGUCCCUGUGGUGGCGACCUACCCACCCUCAAAUGCAACCCACUUAGAGCCGGGCCUCUCUCACGCCGGUUCUGCCCACUUCACUACAUAGAGAGAAGGAAAAUAAUCAGAUCUGCCUCAAAAGGUUACCCUACAGCUCACCUACACCUAUUCCCUCUCCCACACUCUCAGCUGAGCUUAUUAUGUGCUGAUGCUUCUCACUUAUAGUUCUACAUACUGUGAUGUGGUUGCAGUACAUUUGUCUCGUGUAUAUCCUCUUCAUAAAUAGCC